CCUACGGGUGGCAGCAGUGAGGAAUAUUGGACAAUGGGCGGAAGCCUGAUCCAGCCACGCCGCGUGAGGGAAGAAGGUAUUGCGUACCGUAAACCCUUUUUGUCAGGGAACAAAGGAGGGGACUAGACCCAGGAUGAGGGUCCAUGCAGAAAAAGCAUCGGCAAACUCUGUGCCAGCAGCAGCGGUUAUACGGAGGAUCAGGGUGUUAUCCGGAUUUAUUGGGUUAGAGGGGGGCGCAGGCGGCCUGCUAAGUCAGAGGGAAAAGCCCGGGGCUCAACCCCGGCGAGCCGUGGAAACUGGCGGGCUGGAGUAGGAGAGAAGUACGCGGAAUGCGCGGUGUAGCGGUGAAAUGCUUAGAUAUCGCGCAGAACGCCGGUUGCGAAGGCAGCUCACUGGACUGCAACUGACGCUGAGGCUCGAAAGUGUGGGUAUCAAACAGGAUUAGAUACCCUGGUAGUC
rnacentral:rRNA from 1 species